GAAUGUACUCAUAAUUGAUCUGUUGUUACCAACUGAUCACUUCAUCAAACUAGCUUGACAUUUUUGUACAUGAGGCUAAGAAAACUGAUAAAAAAGAAAACAGCGCAUUAAAAUCUAUCCAGAGAA